UGACCUCAGAUCAGACAGGAUACCGCUGAACUUAACCAUAUCAUA
rnacentral:rRNA from 1 species